AAUGACAUAAUCAUUUGCUUGGCGUUCAGACCAUCUCCCUCACUGAGAUUCUGAAAGCUUCCGUGUCCCCGAGUGGCGAGUUCUCAGGGAACUCAGAAUUUAAGCACUCAGCGAUUGCUUUUGCAUGAGAAUUAGGGUUUUUGCAUCCAGAUCAGAGGUCUAGGGUUUCGGAGCUCGUUCAAAAAUGGCGAAGGGGAGGUACGGUCGGUUGCAGAGCAAGAAAUGGUCGACGUUCAUGCUCGUCUUGUCGAUGCUGCUCAUGCUAUCGGUGGUGCUUCUCAUGCUUCUCGCUUUCGGAAUCGUUUCGCUUCCGGUCAGCACCGACGACUCUUCACCUAACGAUCUCAGCUCUUUUAGGCGGAAAACCUUCGAGAGAGGUGAUGGAUUGGGGAAUAGAGUAGAGCAGUGGACGGAAGUGAUUUCUUGGGAGCCCAGAGCCUUCAUAUAUCAUAAUUUCUUGUCCAAGGAAGAAUGUGACUACUUGAUAAACCUUGCUAAACCUCAUAUGGUAAAGUCAUCGGUUGUUGAUAGCAAGACUGGGAAAAGCAAAGAUAGUAGGGUGCGCACAAGCUCCGGAAUGUUUCUGAAGAGAGGACGCGAUAAGAUAAUUAGGGAUAUCGAGAAGAGAAUAGCAGACUUCACUUUCAUUCCUGUAGAGCAUGGAGAAGGACUUCAGAUUCUCCACUAUGAAGUUGGGCAGAAAUACGAUGCACAUUUUGAUUACUUCCUAGAUGAGUUCAACACCAAGAAUGGUGGCCAACGGGUUGCUACUCUUUUGAUGUAUCUGUCAGAUGUUGAGGAAGGCGGUGAGACGGUGUUUCCUGCUGCAAAGGGGAAUAUCAGCUCUGUGCCAUGGUGGAAUGAAUUAUCUGAAUGUGGUAAACAGGGACUUGCAGUGAAACCUAAAAUGGGUGAUGCACUACUAUUCUGGAGCAUGAGGCCCGAUGCAACUCUAGACCCGUCAAGUUUGCAUGGUGGAUGCCCUGUGAUAAUUGGUAACAAGUGGUCGUCUACAAAAUGGAUGCAUCUUGAAGAGUACAAAGUCUAAGUCGUUUUAUGUAAAGGAUUUUGCUAGAUGUCCUGUAACUGGUGGUUAGCCUCGGGUUUAUGUGAUGAUUUACAUCCGUAUUCUAGCCCUUAAAAAACCAGAUGGUGCCUUGAGCAGGAUAUGAAGAGAGUUAAGCUGUGCAGGUCGUCUAUGGAAGUUAGCAGAUUUAGGAUCCCUGACAAAUGAAAGCAGCCAUCCAAUUCUAACCGAGUGCGUAUGGUAUGGUCUGAACCACCAUUCACUUGAUUUUCUGGUCUCUCAGCAAUUUAUACCUUGAGAUAACAGUGAAGUUAUACCAAAAAACAUAUUUUUAUCGAGAGGAACGAUGUAAUUACAAAUUUGUUUUAACCUUUAUAAUGUUGUCACAUUUUCUCAA